rnacentral:rRNA from 1 species
AUUGAACGCUGGCGGCAGGCUUAACACAUGCAAGUCGAGCGGGGGAAGGUAGCUUGCUACCGGACCUAGCGGCGGACGGGUGAGUAAUGCUUAGGAAUCUGCCUAUUAGUGGGGGACAACAUCUCGAAAGGGAUGCUAAUACCGGAUACGUCCUCUUUCGCGCCUGCGAGAGGGGAGAAAGACGGUCUUUAAGGCCGUCGCUCAAAGAGGGGCCCGCGGCGCAUUAGCUGGUUGGUGGGGCAAGGGCCUACCAAGGCGACGAUGCGUUGCCGACCUGAGAGGGUGAUCGGCCACACUGGGACUGAGACACGGCCCAGACUCCUGCGGGAGGCAGCAGUAGGGAAUCAUCCGCAAUGGGCGAAAGCCUGACGGUGCAACGCCGCGUGAGUGAGGAAGGUUUUCGGAUCGUAAAGCUCUGUUGUGAGGGAAGAACAGCUUCCGGAGGAAAUGCCGGAGGUUUGCCGGUACCUCACCAGAAAGCCCCGGCUAACUACGUGCCAGCAGCCGCCGUAA